GAUGAACGCUGGCGGCGUGCCUAAUACAUGCAAGUCGAGCGAACAGACGAGGGGCUUGCUCCACUGACGUUAGCGGCGGACGGGUGAGUAACACGUGGAUAACCUACCUAUAAGACUGGGAUAACUUCGGGAAACCGGAGCUAAUACCGGAUAAUAUAUUUAACCGCAUGGUUCAAUAGUGAAAGACGGGUUUGCUGUCACUUAUAGAUGGAUCCGCGCCGCAUUAGCUAGUUGGUAAGGUAACGGCUUACCAAGGCAACGAUGCGUAGCCGACCUGAGAGGGUGAUCGGCCACACUGGAACUGAGACACGGUCCAGACUCCUACGGGAGGCAGCAGUAGGGAAUCUUCCGCAAUGGGCGAAAGCCUGACGGAGCAACGCCGCGUGAGUGAUGAAGGUCUUCGGAUCGUAAAACUCUGUUAUUAGGGAAGAACAAAUGUGUAAGUAACUAUGCACGUCUUGACGGUACCUAAUCAGAAAGCCACGGCUAACUACGUG
rnacentral:rRNA from 1 species